AACGAACGUUGGCGGCGUGGAUUAGGCAUGCAAGUCGGGGGAAUCCCAGCAAUGGGGAACCGGCGUAAGGGGCAGUAAUGCGUGGGUACCUGCCCCGGGGUUCGGGAUAGCCGUCAGAGAUGGCGGGUAAUACCGGAUGACCUCGGGAGAGCAAAGAUUUAUCGCCCCGGGAGGGGCCCACGUGAUAUUAGCUUGUUGGUGAGGUAACGGCUCACCAAGGCGAAGAUGUCUAGCGGGUGUGAGAGCACGACCCGCGCCACUCGCACUGAGACACUGGCGAGACACCUACGGGUGGCUGCAGUCGGGGAUCUUCGGGAAUGGGCGCAAGCCUGACCGAGCGACGCCGCGUGUGCGAUGAAGGCCUUCGGGUUGUAAAGCACUGUCGAGGGGGAGGAAACCCGCAAGGGUUGACCUAUCCCUGGAGGAAGCACGGGCUAAGUUCGUGCCAGCCGCCGCAGUAACAC
rnacentral:rRNA from 1 species